rnacentral:rRNA from 1 species
UAAGUUAUUAAGGGCGCACGGUGGAUGCCUUGGCACUAGAAGCCGAUGAAGGACGUUACUAACGACGAUAUGCUUUGGGGAGCUGUAAGUAAGCUUUGAUCCAGAGAUUUCCGAAUGGGGAAACCCAGCAUGAGUUAUGUCAUGUUAUCGAUAUGUGAAUACAUAGCAUAUCAGAAGGCACACCCGGAGAACUGAAACAUCUUAGUACCCGGAGGAAGAGAAAGAAAAUUCGAUUCCCUUAGUAGCGGCGAGCGAAACGGGAAGAGCCCAAACGAACAAGCUUGCUUGUUGGGGUUGUAGGACACUCUAUACGGAGUUACAAAGGACGACAUUAGACGAAUCAUCUGGAAAGAUGAAUCAAAGAAGGUAAUAAUCCUGUAGUCGAAAAUGUUGUCUCUCUUGAGUGGAUCCUGAGUACGACGGAGCACGUGAAAUUCCGUCGGAAUCUGGGAGGACCAUCUCCUAAGGCUAAAUACUCUCUAGUGACCGAUAGUGAACCAGUACCGUGAGGGAAAGGUGAAAAGCACCCCGGAAGGGGAGUGAAAUAGAACCUGAAACCGUGUGCUUACAAGUAGUCAGAGCCCGUUAAUGGGUGAUGGCGUGCCUUUUGUAGAAUGAACCGGCGAGUUACGAUUUGAUGCAAGGUUAAGCAGUAAAUGUGGAGCCGUAGCGAAAGCGAGUCUGAAUAGGGCGUUUAGUAUUUGGUCGUAGACCCGAAACCAGGUGAUCUACCCUUGGUCAGGUUGAAGUUCAGGUAACACUGAAUGGAGGACCGAACCGACUUACGUUGAAAAGUGAGCGGAUGAACUGAGGGUAGCGGAGAAAUUCCAAUCGAACCUGGAGAUAGCUGGUUCUCUCCGAAAUAGCUUUAGGGCUAGCCUCAAGUGAUGAUUAUUGGAGGUAGAGCACUGUUUGGACGAGGGGCCCCUCUCGGGUUACCGAAUUCAGACAAACUCCGAAUGCCAAUUAAUUUAACUUGGGAGUCAGAACAUGGGUGAUAAGGUCCGUGUUCGAAAGGGAAACAGCCCAGACCACCAGCUAAGGUCCCAAAAUAUAUGUUAAGUGGAAAAGGAUGUGGCGUUGCCCAGACAACUAGGAUGUUGGCUUAGAAGCAGCCAUCAUUUAAAGAGUGCGUAAUAGCUCACUAGUCGAGUGACACUGCGCCGAAAAUGUACCGGGGCUAAACAUAUUACCGAAGCUGUGGAUUGUCCUUUGGACAAUGGUAGGAGAGCGUUCUAAGGGCGUUGAAGCAUGAUCGUAAGGACAUGUGGAGCGCUUAGAAGUGAGAAUGCCGGUGUGAGUAGCGAAAGACGGGUGAGAAUCCCGUCCACCGAUUGACUAAGGUUUCCAGAGGAAGGCUCGUCCGCUCUGGGUUAGUCGGGUCCUAAGCUGAGGCCGACAGGCGUAGGCGAUGGAUAACAGGUUGAUAUUCCUGUACCACCUAUAAUCGUUUUAAUCGAUGGGGGACGCAGUAGGAUAGGCGAAGCGUGCGAUUGGAUUGCACGUCUAAGCAGUAAGGCUGAGUAUUAGGCAAAUCCGGUACUCAUUAAGGCUGAGCUGUGAUGGGGAGAAGACAUUGUGUCUUCGAGUCGUUGAUUUCACACUGCCGAGAAAAGCCUCUAGAUAGAAAAUAGGUGCCCGUACCGCAAACCGACACAGGUAGUCAAGAUGAGAAUUCUAAGGUGAGCGAGCGAACUCUCGUUAAGGAACUCGGCAAAAUGACCCCGUAACUUCGGGAGAAGGGGUGCUCUUUAGGGUUAACGCCCAGAAGAGCCGCAGUGAAUAGGCCCAAGCGACUGUUUAUCAAAAACACAGGUCUCUGCUAAACCGUAAGGUGAUGUAUAGGGGCUGACGCCUGCCCGGUGCUGGAAGGUUAAGAGGAGUGGUUAGCUUCUGCGAAGCUACGAAUCGAAGCCCCAGUAAACGGCGGCCGUAACUAUAACGGUCCUAAGGUAGCGAAAUUCCUUGUCGGGUAAGUUCCGACCCGCACGAAAGGCGUAACGAUUUGGGCACUGUCUCAACGAGAGACUCGGUGAAAUCAUAGUACCUGUGAAGAUGCAGGUUACCCGCGACAGGACGGAAAGACCCCGUGGAGCUUUACUGUAGCCUGAUAUUGAAAUUCGGCACAGCUUGUACAGGAUAGGUAGGAGCCUUUGAAACGUGAGCGCUAGCUUACGUGGAGGCGCUGGUGGGAUACUACCCUAGCUGUGUUGGCUUUCUAACCCGCACCACUUAUCGUGGUGGGAGACAGUGUCAGGCGGGCAGUUUGACUGGGGCGGUCGCCUCCUAAAAGGUAACGGAGGCGCUCAAAGGUUCCCUCAGAAUGGUUGGAAAUCAUUCAUAGAGUGUAAAGGCAUAAGGGAGCUUGACUGCGAGACCUACAAGUCGAGCAGGGUCGAAAGACGGACUUAGUGAUCCGGUGGUUCCGCAUGGAAGGGCCAUCGCUCAACGGAUAAAAGCUACCCCGGGGAUAACAGGCUUAUCUCCCCCAAGAGUUCACAUCGACGGGGAGGUUUGGCACCUCGAUGUCGGCUCAUCGCAUCCUGGGGCUGUAGUCGGUCCCAAGGGUUGGGCUGUUCGCCCAUUAAAGCGGUACGCGAGCUGGGUUCAGAACGUCGUGAGACAGUUCGGUCCCUAUCCGUCGUGGGCGUAGGAAAUUUGAGAGGAGCUGUCCUUAGUACGAGAGGACCGGGAUGGACAUACCUCUGGUGUACCAGUUGUCGUGCCAACGGCAUAGCUGGGUAGCUAUGUGUGGACGGGAUAAGUGCUGAAAGCAUCUAAGCAUGAAGCCCCCCUCAAGAUGAGAUUUCCCAACUUCGGUUAUAAGAUCCCUCAAAGAUGAUGAGGUUAAUAGGUUCGAGGUGGAAGCAUGGUGACAUGUGGAGCUGACGAAUACUAAUCGAUCGAAGACUUAAUCA